rnacentral:rRNA from 1 species
GUUUUCGGAUCGUAAAACUCUGUUGUUAGAGAAGAACAAGGAUGAGAGUAAAAUGUUCAUCCCUUGACGGUAUCUAACCAGAAAGCCACGGCUAACUACGUGCCAGCAGCCGCGGUAAUACGUAGGUGGCAAGCGUUGUCCGGAUUUAUUGGGCGUAAAGCGAGCGCAGGCGGUUUCUUAAGUCUGAUGUGAAAGCCCCCGGCUCAACCGGGGAGGGUCAUUGGAAACUGGGAGACUUGAGUGCAGAAGAGGAGAGUGGAAUUCCAUGUGUAGCGGUGAAAUGCGUAGAUAUAUGGAGGAACACCAGUGGCGAAGGCGGCUCUCUGGUCUGUAACUGACGCUGAGGCUCGAAAGCGUGGGGAGCAAACAGGAUUAGAUACCCUGGUAGUCCACGCCGUAAACGAUGAGUGCUAAGUGUUGGAGGGUUUCCGCCCUUCAGUGCUGCAGCUAACGCAUUAAGCACUCCGCCUGGGGAGUACGACCGCAAGGUUGAAACUCAAAGGAAUUGACGGGGGCCCGCACAAG